ACUCCUUCUAAAGCUAAAUAUCACCACGAGACCGAUAGCGAACAAGUACCGUGAGGGAAAGUUGAAAAGCACUCUGAAUAGAGAGUCAAAAAGUACGUGAAACUGCCUAGGGCUCAAACCCGUUGAACUCGAUUAUCCGGGCGGGGACAUUCACCUGCGGCUUCGCCGCCGCAGGGCACUUGUCCCCGUCGUGCUCCCCGUGGGCCGCCAGAAGGACAUUGCGAUCCAUUACGAAACAGCUUUGGCGUCGCGAGACGCAAGGUCGCCCGACACGUUGCCCCUUGGUGCCGGUUGCUUGCCCCACAGUAGCGACGCUCAGUUCCGAAGGCCUGUGCCGCGAGCUGGGGCUUACUGCACGCGGUGUGUUGCAGUCGGGCGCGUGAUGGAUUCCCCCGUACACCCCGGGCGGUGGCCAAUGGUCCCGCCGCCGGGACUGUCGAUCGGCAAUGAUAAAAUCGAGGUACCUCCGGGACCCGUCUUGAAACACGGACCAAGAAGUCUAUCUUGCGCGCGAGCCAAUGGUCGUCUCCCCGAGCACCAAAGGCGCAGAAAACAUAACUUGAGUUGUGCGGGAUUACGGGCGCGGCUCUCCGCAGCGUCCCUCCAUCCCCGGGUGUUGUAGCCGGCAUGCGGUGGUGGUCGCCUCGUGCGGCCGGCCACCGUGCCACAACAUACCGCGAGUGUGCAGGAUGUGACCCGAAAGAUGGUGAACUAUGCCUGAUCAGGUUGAAGUCAGGGGAAACCCUGAUGGAGGACCGAAGCAGUUCUGACGU
rnacentral:rRNA from 1 species